UAGAAAGAGAAAAACAGCUCUCUUUUGGCCUUGAGAUCACAGCGCAGUCCAAAUACCCACAGAUCCCUCCAAAUCAGAGCACCAGUUUAGCAUCAGAGCAUCAGAAAUGACAAGCGAAUAAAACGCCAGUGUGUUUAAAAGGUCACAGAUAUUCUACAUAUGUCCUUCCAUCAUUGGUGCCUCUACCUGGGCUCUUUUGCUUUGGCUUUAGGUAGAUUCGUCUGACAGCCUUGGAGAGUGACAGAUAAGAGGGAAUAAUUAAUUUAUCAGAGGAGACCAGACUCUAAUCCCCGGUGUCCCGGUGAUAAGGUUGUUUUUUUUUCGCUCUCUCUCCUUCCUUUAGAUCUCUUCUGGUGAUAGAGAGCUCUCCCUCAGCAGGUUCCCGUUAAUAAGCCUGUCAGAGAGGCCAGGGAGAGCCCGUCCAGAGCAGGUUAUCUCCUCACCGCACACCCACGUCUCCCCCUGACAGCGACUGGCUGGCCGCUCGACGGCCCUUUGAAACCUCAGGAGCGCUGGGCCACCUUCUGCAGGCCUUCGAGGCAGCCCUGUCAUUUGAACUGGCUAAUUCCAGCAUCAGGGGGGCAGAAAAGGGCCAGAGGACUCGGCGGCUGACAGACCCGUCAGCACAGGCGAGUUAUGGAACUCGACGGGGGUUGAAUUUGUAAAAAAUUCUUUUGUGAGGGAUCUAAAUGCUGAGGGAUUUGUUUUCUCUUUUUCAUGUUCCUCUUCUUUUACUUUCCAGCCAUCGCUUUGGGUUUAAACGCGGGCAUCUUUCCUGAGGUGGUUGCGCAUGUUUCAUAUCGUGUGUGUAGAUUCAACUGCCCCUCGCGGUGUGAGAAGCUUUUGUGUGCCUGGUUUCUCCAUCUGUGCAGGUCUGUCUGGUAGCGCCAGUCUGGAUCUGUCUGCCCUGCACAGCACGAAAUACAGACUCCCUCCUUCAAAACAAGAGACGAAAGUGUCUGGUGGGUAAAGAU
ensembl:lncRNA